rnacentral:rRNA from 1 species
AACGAACGCUGGCGGCAUGCCAACACAUGCAAGUCGAACGAGACCUUCGGGUCUAGUGGCGCACGGGUGCGUAACGCGUGGGAACCUGCCCUUAGGUUCGGAAUAACUCCCCGAAAGGGGUGCUAAUACCGGAUAAUGUCUUCGGACCAAAGAUUUAUCGCCUUUGGAUGGGCCCGCGUUGGAUUAGCUAGUUGGUAGGGUAAAAGCCUACCAAGGCGACGAUCCAUAGCUGGUCUGAGAGGAUGAACAGCCACACUGGGACUGAGACACGGCCCAGACUCCUACGGGAGGCAGCAGUGGGGAAUAUUGGACAAUGGGCGAAAGCCUGAUCCAGCAAUGCCGCGUGAGUGAUGAAGGCCUUAGGGUUGUAAAGCUCUUUUACCCGGGAUGAUAAUGACAGUACCGGGAGAAUAAGCUCCGGCUAACUCCGUG